UACGUAGGGAGCAAGCGUUGUUCGGAUUUACUGGGCGUAAAGGGCGCGUAGGCGGCGCGGUAAGUCACUUGUGAAAUCUCUGAGCUUAACUCAGAACGGCCAAGUGAUACUGCAGUGCUAGAGUGCAGAAAGGGCAAUCGGAAUUCUUGGUGUAGCGGUGAAAUGCGUAGAUAUCAAGAGGAACACCGGUGGCGAAGGCGGCAUCCUGGACCGGUAUUGACGCUGAGGAGCGAAAGCCAGGGGAGCAAACGGG
rnacentral:rRNA from 1 species